rnacentral:misc_RNA from 1 species
GUCUGGGAAAACAAAAGAAGAAUCAUGGAGAAGGUCACAAUUAAAAAAUUUGUUAAAACUUCUUGAAGAGAAAGAAAAUGAUAUAUUCAAAGCUCUCAAACAAGACUUGGGAAAACACAAAGUUGAGGCUUAUAGAGAUGAGGUUGGAACAUUAGUAAAAUCUGUCCAUUAUGCGCUGGAUGGUUUAAAACAAUGGAUGUCUCCCAAAAAGGCUAAAUUGCCAAUUGCUGCAUUUCCUUCUUCAGCAG